rnacentral:rRNA from 1 species
AGUGAACGCUGGCGGUAGGCCUAACACAUGCAAGUCGAACGGCAGCACAGUAAGAGCUUGCUCUUACGGGUGGCGAGUGGCGGACGGGUGAGGAAUACAUCGGAAUCUACUUUUUCGUGGGGGAUAACGUAGGGAAACUUACGCUAAUACCGCAUACGACCUACGGGUGAAAGCAGGGGAUCUUCGGACCUUGCGCGAUUGAAUGAGCCGAUGUCGGAUUAGCUAGUUGGCGGGGUAAAGGCCCACCAAGGCGACGAUCCGUAGCUGGUCUGAGAGGGUGAUCAGCCACACUGGAACUGAGACACGGUCCAGACUCCUACGGGAGGCAGCAGUGGGGAAUAUUGGACAAUGGGCGCAAGCCUGAUCCAGCCAUACCGCGUGGGUGAAGAAGGCCUUCGGGUUGUAAAGCCCUUUUGUUGGGAAAGAAAAGCAGCAGGUUAAUACCCCGCUGUUCUGACGGUACCCAAGGAAUAAGCACCGGCUAACUUCGUG